UACGAAGGGGGCUAGCGUUGCUCGGAAUUACUGGGCGUAAAGGGCGCGUAGGCGGACAGUUUAGUCAGAGGUGAAAGCCCAGGGCUCAACCUUGGAAUUGCCUUUGAUACUGGCUGUCUUGAGUUCGGGAGAGGUGAGUGGAAUGCCGAGUGUAGAGGUGAAAUUCGUAGAUAUUCGGCGGAACACCAGUGGCGAAGGCGACUCACUGGCCCGAUACUGACGCCGAGGCGCGAAAGCGUGGGGAGCAAACAGG
rnacentral:rRNA from 1 species